AUAGAUAGAUAGAUAGAUAGAUAGACAGACAGAUCCUGGUGAAUUGGAAUCUAUCAACAAUAUUCAGUUAAUUACUGAAGAUCAAUAUCUCAAAGUGCCACUCCACAUUUGUUCAUUAUCCUUUACCCUUUUCCCUGUCCCACAUACAGUAACAGUUGGGUGCAUGUGACUUUAUAAUGUUAUGCCUUCAGGAAUACAGUUAUAUGCAGGUUCAGAAUUAUCAUUUCACUAAAUAGGAUAUGCACAAAGUCAUAGCAUUUCUACCUAACCUAUAGUAAAUAAUCAAAACUUCUGAUUCCAGAAACAUAAUGUUAAAAGAAAUCUUUUAAACUGCAUUCAUAUGCAUACAUUCAUAAAGGAUUUGCUGUUUGUUAACACAGUAACCAUAGGAUGCCUCUUAAUUUUAUUUAUCUUCAUAUUCCUUCCUCUACUCACGUCUUCACUAAUUAUCACUACUUGUUCCCUCACUUUUCAAGACCCAUACCAUGCAUAUUGAUCUAUUCUAGUUCCCUUUCCUAAGGAGACCUAUCUAUUACUCCUAGUCCCAAACUCUAAACACAAUUUCUCUGCUUCUGUAGGUUGUACAUUGGUUCAUUGAUUUAACAGCUAAUGUCCUCAUAAAAGCAAAUAGAUAAUAUAUUUGUCUUGGUGGUCUGAAAAAUUUCAUUCAGUAUGAUGUUUUCUAGUUCCAUUCAUUUACCUUUGAAUUUCAAUUCUUUUAGGGACUGAAUUUUUCAAAUAUGAAAAUAUAGACAGAAGGUACCAUGCUGUAACCUGUAAUUCCACACUGAGAGAGAUGAACUGGGACUACCCGUCUGAGUACACUUUGGAUUAAACUAGUGAGAAGGAAACCUAGGCUGCAGUUUGGGAGGAUGCAUCACAAAUCACCAAAAGAAGUGAGUUUAAAUGACAUAAAUAAACAAAUAACUACUUUAUCUGAGACAUAAUUAGAGUAAAAUAUUUUUCAGUAACUUUAUAUUUCAUGCUCGAAAAAAAGGACAGUACAAAUCAAAUCAAAUGAUAUUCAUUCUUUUCUAAACCAUUGAGACAUAGGGGCGUUGCUCAGUCUAGGAAGUAUGCCCAGGAUAUGGCAGUUCCUGGGUUGAAACUUCACUGUUCCAGUGAAUGAAAUAAUUUGAUUCACCAGUGAGUUGAAAGAGUAUGUAAAAUGAACUCCAAUUAAAACAGAGUUCUAUCCAGGAAGGCAUCAGAGUAGAAAUAGAGGAUUGACUUACACAAGUUUUCCUCUGACCAAUAGAAAGAAAUUUAUCCUCUGAAGACUUGCUUAGUUAAAUGUUAAUACAUGAAGAUGAAAUAAUAUCAAUCUGUAUCAGUUUUUGAAUUAAUAAUUUUUGAAAAUUGAUUUUUUUCAGACAAUAUAUUCCGCCUCAUUAUUUCAUCCUCCCUGAUUCUUUCCAUCUGGAAAAUGACCUAUUUCCUCAUGUUCUCACCCCACCCCUUGGAAAACAUGAAAAGAAAAAGCUAACCUGACUAAAACAGAACAAACGACCAAUGGAAUCAAAAAUGAUAAAACACAAGAAGCACAUAGACACACAGAGAUACAUACUUACAGAGAAAGUCGAAGAAAAUAUUAAAUUGGGAGUCAGAAUAUAUGGGAAAUUACCAGCAUGGUCAAAAAUAUAAUAUAUUAUGAAUAAAAAAAUUCAAAAUUACCAUUGAUUUAUGUAAGUUAGAAUGAAGUACCUGCUUGAUUGUAGGUUCUAUUCCCAUGAAACUGUACUGGAUGAAAGCACUUUUGAUAUUAGAAAUUAUGUCACAAUGAGAGAACUUCUUAGUGAGGUAGAUCAUAUUCAGAUACAGAUAUUAGUGGUUGGACACCAAAAAAUUUGACCUGCAAAACCUCUGCAGAUCCUUUGCAUGGCUUCCUGAUUUAUAUAAGUAUAUAUGUAUAUCAGUCCUGUUGUGUCUGGACAUUAUUGAUCACUUAAUUGCAUUCAUCCCAGUACCACUGUGCCUUACAAUAUUCCUACCAUGACUUCUAAAAAUCUUUCCUGAGCCAUGAAGGAAGAGAUUAGCUGGUAAUGACUCAUUUAUGAGAGUAUGAUCCAAGGUCUUUCACUUUGUAUAUUGUGCAGAUAUAGUUCUCUGUAAUUGGCCCCAUCUAUUAUAUAUGCUAGCUUCUGUGAUGACAAUAGAGCAAUAUAAUGAUAUAUGGGCAUAACGGAAUAUUAUUAGGAAUCAUUUUGCAUCUACAUUUGCACAGCAGACAAUAAUACCUGCUUUAAACCUUAAACCCCAGUAUAUUGUCAUGAGAACAAUGGAAGAAAUGUGUUCUAUCUCACUCUGUAUGUCUGAAAUCCAGUCAUAUAGUGGUUGCUUACUUCCUUGAAGGUGCCAAGAUUGCAGCAUUGUAUCCUGUAGGCAGCUGAGUGUGGUAGGUCAAAUAGUAAAGUUUUCCCUCAAUAACCCUGCCAAACACAUUUCUGUACCAGCAACAGUAUUCAAAAAGUAAAUGUUUUAGUGAGGCACCUGUUUGUCUUCUCUAUGUUCAAAAGAAAUGUAGGUGUUGUCUUCAACAAUAGAGCCAUCAUCAGCCUUAUGCAGCAAUCAGUAGCUUAGGCAAUAGCUUGAAGUGAUUGGAGUAUUACAAUGAGGACACAUUGGCCAAAAAUAUAGUAGAUAUAGCCAAUACAUGGGGUCGGAGAUUUCAUUUCGUGGGAAGAGAUGUCUAGUUCUAUCAUUCUCUCCCAUUUUUUAAUAUCCUUUAUUUGUUAUUUAUGUUAUAUAUUAAGAACUGAUCUGACUCCUACAUAUAGCUGUCCUCCUUAGUAUUACACUCUAUCCUUUCCAUUCCCCCAUCUCCAUUUAUUUGCUACAUUCCAAUGUAUCCCCCAAAUAUGCCCCAUCAUUUUUUAUAUAGUUUCUCUACACUCAUAAAAUCCUUUCUUCCUGCCUAAUUCUUGUAUGCCAUUGUCAGGGCUUAAAAUAUCAAAAUAUAAGCAGAUACAUUCUGUAUUUAUCUUUGAGGUUCUGGAUAACUCACAAUGAGGUGGUUGUUAUUGUUGUUGUUGAUGAUGAUGAUGUUGCUCAGACCCUUUCAAAUAUACCAGAAAAUAGUAAGUGGAUCACAGGCAAUAAGAUGUUGAGGUAUUAACACCAUUGUGGUUUGAUUUUGCUCUGUUCACAUAAUUGAUUGCUUCUUCUCUCUGGAGGUAAGAAAGUACAUUUUUAAAAGAGCCCCCUUUUCAAAAUGAGAUGUUAGAGUUUUAUAGAGAAUUUGGAUUGUGAAAGACUUGAAAAUGGAAAUGCUAUUGGGUUUUUAAUUCCAAGGACAGAUAUGUUUGAUAUUCAACCUUUGGUAAAAUAUUUGCCUAACAUAAACAGAUUUGAAUUUGACCUUCAUCACAAAUGCAGAUAUACUAUACACACAAGAAACAACAGCAGCCAGGAGGUAGGGACAGAAUAAUAUGAUGCUGAAGGUCAUCCUAACCAUUAAUCAGAAGAGCGGGAAAUCAUUUUAGAGAAAAAGUGAUAUAUGCUUUAUGUGCUUGUAUGCUAAAAAUAUGUAACUAUAUUUUGAUUUUACAGGGGUAACAUUGAAAGUAUUGACUUGAGGCUCAGCGACACUUUAAGGUUUUAAACAGGGUUCAUUCUAUGAAAAAUAAUGGGGUCUUUUAAAUUUGUAUAGUAUACUUUUAUUAUAAAUUGACUGUAAGUCUGUGGUGACAAAGAGUAGAAUGCAGUGGUUUCAAUGAGAUGUCGACGAUUAGUUUCUAAUUUUUAAACAGUUGACUCCUAGUUGAUGAUUGUUUGUGGAAGGUUUUGAGAGAAGACUCUCUGCUUCUUCUCUGAGGUUUGAGAUAUAAACUCCUAAUUCAGCAACAUGCUGCUUAUCACUAGAAAUACAGAAAGAGAAGAAAUAAUUUUUGCUACUAUACUACAAUUUGAAUUUUAUUAAUAUAUUUUUGUUUUUGUUACAAAUUCUAAAAUGUAAUUCUGGCUGUAAGUAUACUCAUAGUAGACUCUCGUCCUAUGACUCUAAAUUGUUAGAUAUAAGGGCAUGUGCCAACAUGACUGGACUUUUUCACAAAACAAAAAAAUCUAAAAAUAAUUAAUGAUCAAAGUCAAAUUCACAUUUACAAAUCAAAUUAAAGCAUUCAAGAUAUAUUGACUUACAUAUUAAUCAUAUCAUUUAAGAAAUAGAAGCAAAAUAUUUACUUCAUAUUUUUGCCCAACUUACUCUACAGAAUGUGACACUGUCUCACAAAUUCCAAAAAUUAAACAGAAUAUGAACAAAACUAGAAAUAAAAUAAAGGAGAAAAGGAGGAGGAAUCAGAGGAGAAAAAGGAGGAAGAGGAUAAAAGGAGGACUCCACUAAUCAGAGAAAACGAAAAGCUCAUAAAAUGAAGUACGAAUAAAUUUUCCAAUCCAUGAACACUAUCUGGAAGGGGUGAAUACUCCAGUUAGUCACCAACUUAACUUCUUCAUGUUCAAUGCGAUAGAUUAGGGUGAGCCCUGGCAGCAGGCAAGAAAAUGACCUCAUCUCUCAUAGUGGCCAUUGUACCGUAAUCCAGGUAGAGACACUUGUCGUUCUGACAUCAUCUUGGAGAUCUUGUGCCAGAUGUCUCUUUGGUGAAGAACUGCAGCUUCGAUGGCACUGUGGGCGUACUGUUUUACCAGGGUCCACGUGUCUAUUUGGCCUUGAAGUUCUCUGUUACCUUCAAAAAUGCCACUAACAAAACUGCAUUUGUCUCAUUUAUUCAACUGAGCCAAUAUCCAGAGACCUGGAGAGAGGCUUUGCCAACAUCUUUCCGGUAACUGAAUCUCCAGAGCUGAAGGGAAAAAAUGAUGAUUUUCAGAUGCUCGAAGGGAACCUGAUGUUGGAAAAAGACUCCUUAACCAUUAAAUUCACCAUAUCCAUUAUCCAUGUUGCUAAAAUAAAUGUAGUGAUUGAAAGCAUAAUAAUGAAUCUAGGUAUCCAUGGUGUCACCUGACUUUCCAUCUAGCAUUUAAGAAGCCAAAGCUGUUGAUCUCAGAGUUCAAAGCAUGUCUAUUCUAAAAUGUGAGGUACAAGUCCAGAAAAUUCUAAUGAGUAAUACUCUGUUUUAAAAAUAAACAAAAAAGUAAAUAAAAAUUAUAUCAUAGCAAUGUUUUUUAAAAGACGAGGGAAAUAAACUUCAUUACUGAAAGAUAAACCAAUUAUUUUAUUAAACAACAAAUAUUUUGUACAUGGUAAGGUUUUCACUUACAUGAACACAUAGGAAAGUUUAAAAAUCCACCUAAUCAAGUAAAACCUGAAUAGUGCAGAAUGUUUUAAGGGAGAAUCUAUUAUUCCUUAAUCAUUUCUCAUCAUAGUACUUCAAGUAUAGAGAGCUUUUGUAUGUUCCCUAGUUUCGGUUAUGUUUUUCCUAAGCACUCUUUCUUUCCUUUAGAAAUCUAAAGAUGACUAUAAAUCUCCAUUAUGUAUCCCCGUUGCCCCGGAAAUACAUUAAUUUUACUCCUAACUGAUUUCUAAAGAGCUUGUGAAGAUCCCCUCUUCCAUACUAGCAAUAGGAAAGCCUAAAGCUCGUCACUUCCUCCUUAUGCCGUUAGCUUUAGAACAGAUUUUGAAUCCCUGGAGCCUGGAAACAUGCACACAUGUGUGACUGCAUGGUUGUGCUGGCUCACAGGCACAGACUGGGGUUUGGGACUGUGAUUAAUCAAGUCAGUGCAGCAGGUUCAGUUCUGAGAAAAGCAGUCAAAGGUGCCUGUUACCUCCACCCUAGGAAUGAUCAGCAAGGCAGGGCAGCACCCAAGGUCAGCUCCCACUUUGAUCCUGUGUUUUUUAGGUAGACAUGAUUUUUGCACAUUAAGUGUUUCAAAUAUGUAGCAAUUAGAAAAUUAUUCUAUAUAUCUCACGUCUUUGAAGGAUCAGAUCAGAAAACUAUUACAUGUGUACCUGACUUCAUUUUUUCCUGUCCUGUGUUGUGUUAGCUGCAGUGGCCCUCCCCUUGAGCCUGUGCCCUGUCACUUUAUCUGAGUUCUCUUACAAAGUUAAAACAUUAACAUUUCAAAGAGCUGACAGUAUUGUGGAUUAUUGGUGUAUGGGAAUAAUGGCAAUCAGAUAAAAAAAGAACAUUUGUGUUGGUAUACAGGUGCUGCAUAAUAAUAAUAUUUCUACAGGUAUUUAAAUUAGGUUUUGCCACACCCUGAACGAUAUGAAGGGGAAAAAUCACUUGAAGUUUAAUAUACAGAUUAUCGUCAGAGGGAAACCACAGCACUAGGAGAUCUUACACUAUGAUACUUAUAAUAAAGAAAAGGGGUUUCCAAAUUGGCUUUAACAGAGGGUAGUGGAGAGUAAAUUCAGAUGUAUGAAGUCCCAAAAUAUGGAAAUGUGGGAUAUCUUUUACACUACACACACACACACACACACAGG
rnacentral:sRNA from 1 species